rnacentral:RNase_P_RNA from 1 species
GGAGUCGGCCGGGCAGUCGCUGUGUCCUUCGGGACAUGGAGGAAAGUCCGGGCUCCAGAGGACGGGGUGCCAGGUAACGCCUGGGGGGCGCGAGCCUACGGAAAGUGCCACAGAAAACAGACCGCCUAAGCGCGCAAGCGCCGGCAAGGGUGAAAAGGUGCGGUAAGAGCGCACCGCGUCGGUGGCAACACUCGACGGCACGGUAAACCCCACCCGGAGCAAGACCAAAUAGGGGAACAGGCGGUUCGCCGUCGCGUGUGGUCCGCACGGUUCCCGGGUAGGUCGCUUGAGGCACGCGGUGACGCGUGUCCAGAUGAAUGGCUGCUCUCGACAGAACCCGGCUUACAGGCCGGCUCCCCAC